rnacentral:rRNA from 1 species
UCUGGUUGAUCCCGCCGGAGGUUACUGCUAUCGAGGUUCGACUAAGCCAUGCGAGUCGAAUGUAGCAAUACAUGGCGUACUGCUCAGUAACACGUGGACAACCUACCCUUAGGCCUGGGAUAACCCCGGGAAACUGGGAAUAAUACCGGAUAUCUCGCGAAUGCUGGAAUGCAUCGCGAUAAAAAGCUCCGGCGCCUAAGGAUGGGUCUGCGGCCUAUCAGGGUAGUAGUGGGUGUAAUGUACCUACUAGCCUACGACGGGUACGGGUUGUGAGAGCAAGAGCCCGGAGAUGGAUUCUGAGACACGAAUCCAGGCCCUACGGGGUGCAGCAGGCGCGAAAACUUUACAAUGCUGGCAACAGCGAUAAGGGGACCUCGAGUGCCAGGAUACAAUCCUGGCUGUCGUAAUGCCUAAAAAGCAUUGCAUAGCAAGGGCCGGGCAAGACCGGUGCCAGCCGCCGCGGUAACACCGGCGGCUCGAGUGGUAACCGCUAUUAUUGGGUCUAAAGGGUCUGUAGCCGGCUGACUAAGUCUCUUGGGAAAUCUGGCAGCUCAACUGUCAGGCUUUCAGGAGAUACUGAUCGGCUCGAGACCGGGAGAGGUGAGAGGUACCUCAGGGGUAGGGGUGAAAUCUUGUAAUCCUUGAGGGACCACCAGUGGCGAAGGCGUCUCACCAGAACGGAUCUGACGGCAAGGGACGAAAGCUAGGGGCACGAACCGGAUUAGAUACCCGGGUAGUCCUAGCCGUAAACGAUACUCGCUAGGUGUCGGCCACGGUGCGACCGUGGUCGGUGCCGUAGGGAAGCCGUGAAGCGAGCCACCUGGGAAGUACGGCCGCAAGGCUGAAACUUAAAGGAAUUGGCGGGGGAGCACUACAACGGGUGGAGCUUGCGGUUUAAUUGGAUUCAACGCCGGAAAUCUCACCGGGACCGACAGCGAUAUGAAGGCCAGGCUGAAGACCUUGCCGGAUUAGCUGAGAGGUGGUGCAUGGCCGUCGUCAGUUCGUACUGUGAAGCAUCCUGUUAAGUCAGGCAACGAGCGAGACCCA